rnacentral:rRNA from 1 species
UACGUAGGGUGCGAGCGUUGCCCGGAUUUAUUGGGCGUAAAGGGCGCGUAGGCGGCGCCGCGCGUCGCGCGUGAAAUCUCCCGGCUUACCCGGGAGGGGUCGGGCGAUACGGCGGUGCUCGAGCGCGGGAGAGGGAAGCGGAAUUCCCGGUGUAGUGGUGGAAUGCGUAGAGAUCGGGAGGAACACCAGUGGCGAAGGCGGCUUCCUGGACCGUGGCUGACGCUGAGGCGCGAAAGCGUGGGGAGCGAUCCGG